UUAAAAUUUGAACUUCUUUUUUCUAUUUUUAGCUUCCUAUUCUUCAUUCUUUAAUAACAAGGAAAAUAUGAAUUUUGUGUAAACAUCGAACUUUUUUUGGACUUUUUGGUUUUAUUUAUUUUAAUAGCAACAAAAAUUCUAGCUUUUUUAAUAAACAUCAAACCACUCCAUUUUUAAAGUUUGAACUUCUAGGGUUUUCUAAAAAGAGGAUGUAUAAUCAUGAAUUAUCAAUGUAUUGUUUGAAUAGUCAUGAAUCUUUCUAUUCCUCAUCAUAAAACACACAAAAGGAAUCAUUAAUGCUUGACAAAUCAAACUUCCUGUAUAUAUCGCGCACCCUUUGAAAGAAAGAUCUCAACUAAAAAAAGCUCUGAAAAAAUCACAGUUGCUUUUAACUUUUUAUAAUAUACCUUAGCUUUUCUCGACAGGAUGGCAUACUCGUCCAAAACCAAACAUUCAGACUUUUUUAACAACAAUUAAUGUACUUUCUCAAACUUGACCUUCUCAGACACAACAUUUUUGAAAGUUUGGCAAAAACAACAAUAUACACUCACUAAUUCACCAUGAAACCCAGUAAUACACUUUUUGCUCUCCGACACAUAGCCUCCGUUAAUUAGCUCAAUAAUUCGGAAUGGAACCACAAAGCCAUAGCUUUCCUUUUUGAGAGUGUUUGUGUUCCAGAAAAUAUACUUAACAUACUUUUGACCUUCUUGAACAAAACAUUUGACCUUCAACCACUUUUUCUGUUCCAACAAGUUUGUGAACUAGACAACAACAUAUAAUGCUUCUUUUUUUGCAACUAAACUAACGUAUAAUGCUCAUUCAGUUGCUUUUUUGUAGUGGAAUUGUUUUGCCCUUUUUUAGUGGAAUUGUUUUGCCGAAAAGAAUUGAAAAAUAUAUGUUACAAAACACAUGGGAGAGAGAUGCAUAUGUGUACUUCCUUGACAGCAAUACACGAACUUCUCGACACAUAAUUACUUUCCUUCACAUAAACAUGUGCAUAUUUGUUUUGCAAUAUAAAUCCUCCAAGGCGUGCAGCAGCAUAGAAAAUCCAGAAUGGCAAAGCUGUUCACCGGGUCAGCCGAAAAAUAAUUUUGUUCCAAUCAGAAUUUUUCAGGGAUUCAACAUCCAAUUUUAAUCACUCUUUUUUUGACAAACUAGAUGAACAGCAAGAAGAAAUGGGGGGCACUAAUAGACUGCGCUUUUAUUAUUAUUUUUGGCUGGAGCGUGCGACACGAACAACAGUGCACUUUUUACAAAGUUCAUUGCCCCAACACACAGAUCUUGCAAGAACAGGAAGAAUCGAAAUAGCAACAUCAACGGACGUGGUGCUCGGUGUCUGUGCCGACGAAGCAGGAGCGCUGGAGGAGGGCGCGCCGGAGGAGAGGGCAGGCCGCACCGGAGGGGAUAGAAGGCCGCGCCGGAGCAGAUGGAAGGUCGGAUCGUGCUGGUGGGCUGGGGUCUUGGUAGUAGUGGGCGGCGGCGCCGCCGGAUCAAGGCCGCACCUGGGCAGGUGCGGUGACGCGUAGUGGAGGAGGGAGAAGGAGGCGGCUGGCAUGGAAAAGGCAGGGGCCAGGAGGAGGCAGGGGCGGAGGCGACAGAAGGAGGCGGAGGCGGCGGCGCCAGGAGGAGGCGGGGCGAUGCGUCAGGGGGAGGCGAGGCGGAGGCGCGUCGGGAGAAGGUGGGGCGGGGCGGAGGCGCGUCGGGAGAAGGCGGGCCGGGGCCGGGUGGAGGCGCGCCGGGAGAAGGCAAGGCGGGGCGGUGGCGCGCCGGGAGGAGGCAGUCGGCUGCGCUAGGAGAAGGCGGGGGCGGCGACGCGCCUGAAGGAGCCGGGGUAGGCGGCGGCGGUGGAUCGGGACGAUGUGGUGGGCAGCGGGUGGAUCGGGGGAGUUGGGGAGAGGUACGGUAGUGGGGUAGGUGGGUUGGAUUUUUUAUUCAGUGCACCGUGAUUCAAAUAGUUAUUCUAAUUCUGAUAUUAGAAUAGUGCUACUCUCUCAGCACUAUUUUGGUCCUCGGAUCAGAAUAGUUAUUUGGAUCACGACGCGCCCUAUAUAGGGCCGAACAGGUGUUCCUGAGAUCUAAGGGCAGCGCCAGACCGGCCCAUUAACACGUUCUCAGACGGCCUAAAAAUCCACCCACGACCUUCCUAUGCUCCCCCGUCCUCCUCCCGUGGCCUCGCCGCCGGCCUCCUCCCGUGGCCCCGCCGCCGGCCUGCCGGGAUCGAGCAUGCCCCCAAGAUCGCCCCUGGCCUGGUUCUCCUGCCGUCCCCGUCCCCUUCCCCACCCCCGCCCCCCAGAUCGCGCCGCGCGCCGCCCCUGACCUCCGGCCGGAACCCCGCCCCUCCCCGCCGCCGAGGUCCGACCCCCAGGGGCCCAGCCAAGAUGGUCUGCCGCUGGCUAGGUCCGCCGCUACAGGAGAUCUCCCAACUGCUCCUCCCGGUGACGUCGCCCUCCACAUGCGCCUCCUCGCUGCUCCAACCCAGCCACGAGCACCAGAUCUUCAGAGUCAUGGCCUGCACGUGUGGGCAUGGGCACGUCGCAUGUUCAGGCUCCUUCUGAACUCCUCGCGUCUCCUUCGUCUUCGACCAACAACAGCGACCCCGUUUUAGUUCCUCUUUGAAACAGCAGCAGCCACGCUAGAAGUUCAGAAUUGCAGAUGGCGACGUCCAACUUCGGUUGUGGAUGCAUCGUCUCUUGUGGAAGAAGGGCAAGUCUGUAGACCUUGUAGAAGACAAGUGACUGAAAAUGGUAUUACAUGGUGCCGCCACCCUGGACCACCUGCUCCCGCGCAUGAGCAAGCAACCAAUGCGCCGAUGCCUAGCAGUGUACAAAUCUUCUGAUUUCUUGCAGCAGUUCAAUGUACUCCCUCCGUCCCAUAAUAUAAGAACGUUUUUGAUACCAGUGUAGUGUUAAAAAUGUUCUUAUAUUUUGGGACAGAGGGAGUAUAUUAGAGUAGAAAGAAGAAAAACAAUAGUAUGUUGCAGAUGUGGUGCUUGUGAUUGUUGUAGGCAUGCAACAGUUUAGAUUGUAGGGUCAAUGAAAAAUUGUCCCUACUUUACAUGAAUCUUGCAGAAUUAAAGUAGUGUAUGCACUAUGGCACUUACUAGAAAAAAUCGUCUCCAAACUACUCAA